rnacentral:lncRNA from 1 species
CUUGGAAUUAGAAAGGGCCCUAAAUGUAGUGGUGAGUGUCCUUAUAAAAAGGGAGAAGAACACACACACACACAUACACACAUGAUGUGAACAUCGAGGCAAUUCGGAGUGAAGCGUCUGCAUGCCAAGGGGCACCGAGGACUUCCAGCAGCCACUAGAAACCGGGAGGGAGGCCUGAAAUAGAUUAUCCGUCACAGGCUCAGAAGGAAGCAGACCUGCUGACAUCUUCAUUUUGGACCUGUAAAAUCCUGAACUAUGAGAUGGGGAAGGGUGGAAGAGAGGAGGAGAAACAUAGGGCACCAGAGUAUUUGAGGACCUACAGAACAGCAGGAGCUCAAGACGGUCUACCACUGGAUACAAAAAAAGAGCCACCAGGCUGGCUGGAUGCAGAAGAGAGAGAUACAAGACCACAUGAUGGAAGGGGCCAUCCUCACUGACUUCACCACCUGGAAGGAAGCUAUGGAGGAGAAUUGCCCAAACAAAUACAACUGCAUCAAAUUUUGCCUCUGUAAGAAAUAGAUCUUUGUUAUGCUACAAUAGGUCCCUGAGAUUUGGAUUUUAUUUGUUAUAGUAGCUAGCAUUAUUUUUACUUAAUAAAUGGUUCUUAAUAAAUGGUUUACUUAAUAAAUGGUUCUCACGGUUCUGUAAAGCUGCAACAUGCUUUUAAAAUGUUCAGACACAAUGAUCAAACAACAGGAAGCCAAUAAAGGACUUUAUAAAAUUUAGUUCUGGAUCAGUGCAUUAUCUGGCCUUUUCUUGGGUCUUUGUUAGACUUUGACAUUCUAUUAGUGGAUUGUUAAGAUACCUGCGUGCAUUAAUACACAUUCAAUUGUGAGUUUUAAACCCUCUACUCAUCUCUCUUUUCAAUUUGGAAUUAAUUUCACUUGUGUGAUUAAUGGUCUAGGAAAGCGUUUUGAUUACAUUAUCUCAUUUGAUUCUUGUUAGAAGUUUCACAAUUAACACAUGAAAGCUAUCAUUUUUGAAGGUUGCUAUAUUCCACGUCCUCUUGCUUAUACUGGAAGAGUCAGAAACAAAACAAAACUUAGAGGAGUUUCUUUUUUUUCUAAUUGCAUCUAUCUUUCAGUUUCAGUUCUAAAAUAAUAAAAAAUUUGUAUAAAAGUUCCCC